CCUACGAGUGGCAGCAGUGAGGAAUAUUGGUCAAUGGUCGUGAGACUGAACCAGCCAAGCCGCGUGAAGGAUGAAGGUACUGUGUUUUGUAAACCUCUUUUGUCAGGGAAUAAAGGUAUGCACGCGUCCCUGUAUGCGUGUACCUUAUGAAUAAGCAUCGGCUAACUCCGUGCCAGCAGCCGCGGUAAUACGGAGGAUGCGAGCGUUAUCCGGAUUUAUUGGGUUUAAGGGGUGCGCAGGCGGUCUGUUAAGUCAGCGGUAAAAGCCGGGGGCUCAACCCAGGACCGCCGUUGAAACUGGCAGUCUCGAGUUGGAGAGAAGUAUGCGGAAUGCGCGGUGUAGCGGUGAAAUGCAUAGAUAUCGCGCAGAACUCCGAUUGCGAAGGCAGCAUGCCGGCUCCAAACUGACGCUGAGGCACGAAAGCGUGGGUAUCGAACAGGAUUAGAUACCCUAGUAGUC
rnacentral:rRNA from 1 species